rnacentral:rRNA from 1 species
GGGGGAUAACCGGGAGAAAUCCGGCCUAAUACCGCGUAACACCUUUUGGGAGCAUUCCCGGGAGGUUAAAGGAGAGAUCCGGCAUAGGAUGGACAUGCGUCGCAUUAGGUAGACGGCGGGGUAACGGCCCACCGUGCCGACGAUGCGUAGGGGUUCUGAGAGGAAGGCCCCCCACACUGGUACUGAGACACGGACCAGACUCCUACGGGAGGCAGCAGUGAGGAAUAUUGGUCAAUGGCCGAGAGGCUGAACCAGCCAAGUCGCGUGAGGGAAGAAUGUCCUAAGGAUUGUAAACCUCUUUUGUCGGGGAGCAAAAAGGCUCUGCGGAGUCGUAUUGAGAGUACCCGAAGAAAAAGCAUCGGCUAACUCCGUGCCAGCAGCCGCGGUAAUACGGAGGAUGCGAGCGUUAUCCGGAUUUAUUGGGUUUAAAGGGUGCGCAGGCGGCGUGUCAAGCAAGCGGUAAAAUAGCGGGGCUCAACCCCGUCGAGCCGUUUGAACUGGCGCGCUUGAGUUCAGGCGAGGUAGGCGGAAUUCGUGGUGUAGCGGUGAAAUGCAUAGAUAUCACGAAGAACUCCGAUUGCGAAGGCAGCUUACCAGUCUGCGACUGACGCUCAGGCACGAAAGUGUGGGUAUCGAACAGGAUUAGAUACCCUGGUAGUCCACACAGUAAAC